UGGCGCGUGCGCGCCUCUUUGCUGCCUGGAGUCGCGAGCGCUCGCUUCGCCUCUCCAAUGCGGAGCUGCGACGUCGCCAGGGAUGCGCGCGGGGCGGUUGUGGCGGUGGCAGCCCGGCGCAGCGGCGUUCAGGUGUGCCCGUGGCGUGGCUGCCGCCCCAGCGGGGUCAGUCAGGAGUCCAGCCGACCAGACUGCGCAAUAAACUGGCGGGUUCUCCGGCCCUUUCUCACAGGCUCCGGGGCUGCUGGAGCGAAGAGAGCCCCGGGGAGGAGGGAGCCGCGCGUUCACCUUGUACCUGUGGAGAGGCCUGCGGGGGUGAAGCGAGCCCUGCCUCAGUUUCCCUCCCUGGCAGUAGCGACAGGAGAGAACUUGGGCAGCGGUGCCACUCAGAGGAUGCUCGCACGGGAUUGGGAGGGAAGGUCCUCCGCAGUAUUUUGCACCUCUCUUGAGUGCUAGAAGAUUGGAGCCAAGAUGCUAGCCACAUAACUACUGCAGUGGCUAAGGACUAUGAAGCCUGUAACGCUCAAUAAAAUGAGUGAACAUUGA